CUGACUGAUUGACUGACUGACUGAUUGGAACUCGAUUCUCAUGAAUUCAUAUAAGGCCUGAGAAAAAACAUAGGGGCUUCACUUAAAGUGGAGGAGGUGGAGAUGAGACGGCUUCAACUUAGGCAAAGGAGUAGACGGCAGCUUGAGCAAAGAAGGAGUCGCCUUUUACGAUGGCGAAGAAAGCGAUUUAAGAAUGGAGGGCGAGACGGCGGCUUCAAAUUGAGAGACUGCGAUUUUAACCAUGCGGUAGGCAGCGGCCCUUACAUUGGAGGAGGAGACGGCGGCCUAAAAUAUGAAGGAAUCGGCAGCAUAACAAAACUGCUUAAUAAGCUGAAAAACUCACGCGCCGUACGCUUCACUUCCGUUAUGCAAAUCACCUCCAAUUUCUGCUUCCCAUCGCACGUGCUUUGUAAUGUGUUGAGUGUGACCAGACGAGGCGACCAGCUAAAAAAGUGAAGAUUCGAUCAAAUCCUGCUAUUCCAUGGACUCUCCCGUUGUUAUAAAUACGCAAGAUACCCG